UGUUAGCACAGGAAGAGAACACGAUCGGCUCAUCGGGCCGCUUCCUCUGCCUGCCAAAAACUGUCCCAAAAUGGUCCUCGCAAUAACAAGGCAUCGCAAGCGUAAAAGAGGGGGGAUUUUUGCACAGAUUCCCGGUGCAGGAGCACGACAGUAUGCAUUGGAUGACGGAAUCCGGAGUGCUCUGCACACACCCAUUUUCCUGUGGGUGGGUUUGGCUCCCAAUCAAGAUUCCUUCUGCAAUGUAAACAGCUGGGACCGCCCUGGUCACGGUGAAGGAUGGAGAACUCUCCAGCUGUGAAAUGGAUUUGUCCAGCCUGGGCCGGAAUUACGCCUCAGCCUCCAGCCAAUUACAUUUGGCCAUCUCCACGGGCCAGCGCACACCGCUGCGCCUUGAGCUCCCUGGGCCGCCCCCCGUGCUCCUGUGUGAAGUCAUCAAGGCCUCACCUGUUCCUGUGUGUAUGUGUGUGUGUGUGUGGGGGGGGGGGCGGUGGAGGUUCAGCACCCUCACCAUGUCAUUCACAGUUCCCACUGCAUUUUCACAGGCCGUGGUGUUUGAUUCCCCCCCCCCCCCAUGCCACCGAUGUACCCACCAAAACGGCGAGUGAUAUGCGGCGGUUGACCGGCUGGCUGCACACUUUUCAGAGGGGGGCGUUGCGUGCUAGUUCGCUCCGGCUCCCAAAGCCCCAGAACAGUAAGGUGCAACCCCAGUCCCUGCAGUACGUGGACUGGCCAUCCACAAUGCCAAGGGUUCAUAGUUCAUUGUGGUAUGUGUCAACAUUCUACACUCUGCAUCCUGAAGCCAACCAUGCGUAUGUAUGUUUUUGUCUUGCCGGCGCAAGCUAUUUAUGCAAGAUGGCCGAAUCACGAAAUCUGACCUGCACUCGAGUAAACCCACUGGAGCCCUGCGGGCAGCCGUUCAGACUUCAACAAGACCGUGAUUGUGUCAUUGCGGACACAGCGGUCUUUGCAUUGGGUAGUUUAAAGUCAACAAUGGAUGAUUUCUGUGGCAGGGCAAGAGGAGGUCAAGGCUGAACUUACAGCUUCUCUCACAAGUCAGGAGCUCCCAGGUUUUCCCUAAAAACAGCCAUCACAUUUUCCAGUAACCAGUAACAUUCUGGUUUAAAACUUACUUGAAUGCUAUUCUCUGAGCAUAAAUCAAAUAAUAAAUUGUACAAUAUGAAACUAGGUUAUUUCAUAAAUAUUUUUUUUACUUCUAAUGUGAAUAAAAAUUUUUUAUCAGCCAACCAAAAGACUGCUGAAAAGGGACUUGUUCAAGGGAGGCAGACACCACAUGAUAGCUCCACUCAUUUUGAGGUUUGUGAAGCCUCACAUGCCCAUCACUAGCUGUUUGUCUCCUGGGAGACACUGACAAUAGGACACACCUUCCAGGGCAAUGUGAAGACGAGUGUUAUAUCAGUAUUAGAGUCUCUUGUCAGUCUUGUGUGAAUUCAGGAGACAAAGAAAAAAUAUGAAUAAAAGUUACAGUCCAUGCCAGCCAACAAUAAUAAGACUUGUUCAUGUAUUGUUACCCCCUCAUCCCACCCCUAUUGAGACCUCCCUCAAUUGCAGGUCCAAGGACACUGUGUCAUUAUAAUAAGCUGCAGCAUCUGCUUCACACAAUGCUGAGACUUCAUGGUAGGUAAUUGGACCUUUACAUCUUCUGAGCCCAAGCAAUCCCACAAUUCAACAAGUACAAAUCACAAGGCUUUCGGGCGAGAUGGGGUGGGGUGAUCAGCCCAUGCUGAUUUAGUCUUUAGACUCAAAUCUGUCUAGGGCCACUAAGAUAUAGAAGAAAACAAACGACAACAAAAAAAUAAUCCUGUGACCUUGGUCAGCUCCAGCAAUGAGAGGGCAACUGAUGCUCUAACAUCAUAACCCCCAGCCCCACCCAACCUUCAGGACGGGUGGAGCCGUGGUUCUCACAAGGAGCUGAUGUGGGCUUUUACCACCGGAAAACCACAGAGGACAGUGGCCUUCAACCUGGCUGAGGAGCAUUCUCCCAUUCAUCUCCAUCUUCC